rnacentral:rRNA from 1 species
GACGAACGCUGGCGGCGUGCUUAACACAUGCAAGUCGAACGAAGAGCGAUGGAAGCUUGCUUCUAUCAAUCUUAGUGGCGAACGGGUGAGUAACGCGUAAUCAACCUGCCCUUCAGAGGGGGACAACAGUUGGAAACGACUGCUAAUACCGCAUACGAUCUAAACUCGGCAUCGAGGAUAGAUGAAAGGUGGCCUCUACAUGUAAGCUAUCACUGAAGGAGGGGAUUGCGUCUGAUUAGCUAGUUGGAGGGGUAAGGGCCCACCAAGGCGAUGAUCAGUAGCCGGUCUGAGAGGAUGAACGGCCACAUUGGGACUGGGACACGGCCCAGACUCCUACGGGAGGCAGCAGUGGGGAAUCUUCCGCAAUGGACGAAAGUCUGACGGAGCAACGCCGCGUGAGUGAUGACGGCCUUCGGGUUGGAAAGCUCUGUUAAUCGGGACGAAAGGCCUUCUUGCGAAUAGUGAGAAGGAUUGACGGUACCGGAAUAGAAAGCCACGGCUAACUACGUG